rnacentral:lncRNA from 1 species
CCCAAGUGAACAGUCGGCCCAUCCUAAUAAUUUUCCUCUUGUCAAAGGGAAAUCUCUCUAUUGGAGAAAAGAAGGAGGUGACCACCUCUUCCUUUUAUAAAAAUACUUUUUUCUUCACAAUAAAGGGGGGCACCCGUCCCUUUUGACAACACCAAAAUAAUCAACUUUCUCUAAAAAUCUCAAAAUAGCAAAACACCAAACAUUUCCACCAAAAUCUUUAGAAACAAACAUUCUCAAUCCCAUUAAACCCCAAGAAAUUAGAAUAACUUAAAGAACAAAAUGUGUCCAUUAGGAAAAGUGCUUCUAGUCGAAAUUUUAGGAUCCGUCGAAACUUUAGGUUCUGUCGAAGCUUCUGAAACCCACCGGAUUCCCAAACUCUUGGAGCAAGCGGCCAAAGGGUCUCGCCAACACUGCCAAAGAUGAGCGAAAAUCAGUUUUCAAAGGUCGUUAUUUCCAAACGAACAUCUUUCAAAUUCUCCAUCAUUCACAUAUCAUUCAUAUUCUGUUUCAAUACAUAUCAAUGUGCUUGCUAGGUUUGUAUGUUAUAUUAUCUAUUUUAUUACCAUUUAAGCAAUUUUCAAUCUAAUGACCUCCACAACAAAUGACAAAACAAAACAAACAAUGACUUAGCUAGCAAAAUGGAGCUUCUUUACUUAAUAAGAGCUGUUGGAAAUUGAGUUAAUAAAGGAUUAAGAUGAUUAUUUUCGCUGUAGAUGUCACAAAAAAAUUAAAAAGAUUAUAAAAAAUUUAAAAUACAGUACCAAUGUCCAGCAAUAUAAAAGUUCUUUUGGUUAAAAUAUAUUGUUGGAAUUUUGUUAAAAAGGGCAAAAUGAUUAAAAACUUUUCAAACAAGUAGCUUUUAUUGUAAAAACCAACUAGGUUUGAUUUUGUUUUUGAAAAGAAUCAGAUAUUUCAUCCUUUUUCACAAGUUAGCAAUUGAAAGAGUGAUGAUAACCUUUCGUUUUUUAUAUAUGCUUUUUGAUAGCAUAAAGUCAAAAUAAAUUAAAUUUAAAGUUAUCUUUGAAUAAGUUCGAUUUUCUCGUAAGAGAUUAACUGCGAUACGUAGAAAAAAAUAAGCUAACAUAAUUUAUUCAUAGUAUACAUAUAAACAACCUGAUUAGGAAGGAAAAGUAAUUUUUUUACCUUGCGGUUUCUUUGACGGCAGUGGCGGUUUUUAAUCCGGCAGCGGUAGCGCCCCUUUUUCUCCUCGCCUCAGCAAAAAAAUGAAAGAAAAUUAAAGAUUACGAAGGAGGGAGUGUAAAAGAAAGAUAAUGUUCUAGAUCUGUAGAUCGUGGCUUGCAUGUGGCCAGAGAGCUCGCUGGAGUCGUCCUCGAAUGAUAUGCGAACCCGUACUGCGCUAAAAACAAGAGAAAAGAGGAGUAGGAGUGGAAACGAACGAUUACCUCCAAUUUUGCUGUUGUUGGUGAGGGAGACAAAGAAGGAGUUGACGACGCUGUCUCCGCUGUUGAGACGAGGCAAUGAGGGAGGAAAGAAAGGAAAAGGCGCCGCCGCCUCUACAGUUGAAACGAGGAGCCCUUUUUCUCCCUGGCAUUUUCAUCAUUUUUCGUAUCAUUG